UAGACUUGUUGAAGCAGAUUUUGGUUGAUCAAAACAUCCAGCAAAUUCUGUCCAGACAGGUUUUCAAUCUGUUGAAAUUCUGGACAGAUUCAAAAUCUGCACAGUUACAGAUCUGUCCAGUUCCAUACUAAAUCUGUUCAAGGGUUUAACAUCUGUUGAAGUUACAGAAACUUGCCUGUUCGGACAGAAUUAUUUGCCUUAAUACCAGCCAUUUUCCAGCAGUCUUGUGGGUAGAAAAACAGUCUGAAAAAUCCCUUGUCUUGCUGUCCAAACUUUGUUUUGUUUGCAUUAUUCUACAUUCUAGUUUUAGAGAAAUUUUUAAAGAGAGUAUUAGAACACAAGGUUCUAGUUUGCCAUAUAAAUUUUGUGUGGAGUGCUAUUACAAAUUUGUGAAGAUCAUUGUAUCCUGGGAGAUAGACGCCACUCAACCGUAAGUAUCAUAGCGGGGCAAAUCUGUCUUAAGGACAGAGUGUCACACACUCGACUUGAUCUUUGAAUUAUUAAUUCGGUUCAAUAAAUAACUUCGGGUGCAACAUAUUCCUCCACCACUGUUAGACAUGAUGGAAGUCAUUGAACUGCCAGGAUAUACACCUGAAGAAAAGCUUAAAAUAGCAAUUUGACACCUCAUCCCACGAGUUCUGGAUCACCAUGGCUUGAGUUCUGAGUUCUUUCAAAUUCCUGAGAUUGACUAGUCUUCCCACAUUGUUAGGGCUUACUUGACUUUGAAGGAGAUCUCUCUUCCCCAUCUGUGGGUCAUCGAUCUUGAUCCCUCAAGCCGCUUUGUAUGUCCUUGCCACCAUCGCUAACACCACCGGUAGUCUUUGUCGGCACAUCUGACUGUAAGCCUUGUGGUAAUGAUACCAGAGAGCAACUCAUCGGUAGCGGCUGGGCUUGGGCUAAGGCUAGGGCUCCAUACUGAUCGAGCUGCCACUGGUUUGACUAAUUUGAUGGUGGGUCCACCGUCAUUCUAUAGGAACAAGCCGACCGCACUUGAUCUUCUUGAGCUGGGGAUUGAAGCUGGUGGAGCCUCCAUUGUUGGCUUAUCGGCUUUGUUCACUUCCAUUGGAGGUGGGCUUGAUGUUGCGACAGCGGCGGCCUCAUUUGGAGGAGUGAAUUCCUCGGCUGUAGAAUCUAGGAAGUUCAUCUGAAAUUACCAUGUUUGUUUCUAGUCUUUUGAAAACACUUUUAAGAAAAUUCUAUUUUCUUAUUUUUCAUAUUUUUUUGUUUUUAAUAUAUUUUUUUAAUAUUUUAAGCGA